rnacentral:rRNA from 1 species
UUCUUGACCUCAGAUCAGGCAAGGCUACCCGCUGAAUUUAAGCAUAUUAAUAAGCGGAGGAAAAGAAACUAACAAGGAUUCCCUCAGUAACAGCGAGUGAAGCGGGAACAGCUCAAAUUUGAAAUCUCCGGCGCUUGCGUCGGCGAGUUGUAGUUGCGAGAAGCACUUUCUAGGCGGAUCGGUGGUGCCUAAGUCGCUUGGAACAGUACGUCAUAGAGGGUGACAACCCCGUCCGUGGCACGACCGGCCGCUCACGAUGUGCUUUCGAA